CAUAUCAGCCAUAUCACCCUGCAACUCACAACUGGCAACCCACUGAAGCUAAGCAGGUGUGAGCCUGGUCAGUACCUGGAUGGGAGACCUCCUGGGAAAAACUAAGGUUGCUGCUGGAA
ensembl:rRNA 5S_rRNA 5S ribosomal RNA